CGGGGAGUAGCUCAGCUUGGUAGAGCAUCUGGUUUGGGACCAGAGGGUCGUAGGUUCGAAUCCUGUCUCCCCGACCA
rnacentral:tRNA from 1 species